UGCUGGUCACCCUCCACCAAACCAGUGCCCCUAAUGGGGUGGGUCUGAGCUGGUCCGGUUCUAGGCGUGUGCAUGGGCUUUUCUUGACCGUGAAUGUUCAUGUUCAGGCUCACGCUCAAGACAGGUACCUACCCAUCCCCUCCCCAACUCCCGUCCAACCUCCUGUCCCUUCCCCAUGUCAUCCCGUCUCCCUCUAGUCCUAUCCCUCCCACGUCCCAUGUCACUGCAGCGUUCAGCCCCAUGCCCGCCUCCCUCCCUCUGCACCCAUCCCACCUCCAUUCUCUCCCACCACCUACCUCUUCCCACGCAUCAUCCCAUCUCAUUGCUAGUCACGUCCUCAUCCCAGCUCUACUCCCAUCCCGUCUCCCACCCCUUGCACACCCCAUCAAGUGUCAGCCCACCGCCUUCGCUACUCCGCUCCCCCAUCUCAUCGCUACCUCCAUCCCAUCUGUCGCCUACUCCCACCCUUGCCUCAGUCUCAUUCCCAUCCCACGCCAUCGUUUCCAAAGCUCCCAGGCUCGAGAUCUGGGCCCAGUGGGGUCUGGGCUGGUUUUGGUGCCCCCCAUGGUGUUUGGCCUCGGGCUCAUCGGUAAAAGUGGUUAGGGACCCCUUCUCACGGAGUCUUCAGGAGUAUAGGAGCCUUAGUAAAGUACUGAGUAGUCAAAGCUGUAUGUCUGCUGGCGGUGACCCAGCAUGCCUCGGAGGACACCCCAAAAACGGCUCAGUGCGACACUGAUGCCUUUCGCCCUUUUGACAAGUGCUGAUGUCCCCGUGAAGCAGCAGGGUGCUAUUUGCCUGUGUGUGCUAAUUUCCCUCUUUCCUCCAGUUGAGCCAUCUGCUGGAGCGACUCGCCAGGUCAGCCCCACCCAGCAAGGCGCUGCAGACUCCUCACUGCUCCACCAACCAAAGAAAACCUCUGCCAACCGAAAUCAUGGUCGAAUGGAAGAAAACCAUGGAUCUUCACUCAGAUGCCAGAGAAAGGCCUGGGCAACCACCGCAGCCUGUCAGGACCAGACGGCAUGGCCACUGGCACCAGAGAAUGAGAACGGGACCCGUUCAUUGUGACCCAUUUGUGCAGUUUGCCUCUGCUGCAGUCCUACAGAGAUCACCCAAGUAUGUCAUCUUUUAUCUAUUGUCUCUGAUUCUAAACACAGCAAAGCUCAUUUUUGAGAUCAAAUAGUAAGUUCUAAGAGUAUCUAGUCACUGAGAUGUAAUAAUGAAAUUAUGAAAAUAAAGUGUAUACAAAGAUUUAUUCAGUUAUCGGAGAAUAAGUGAAUUCAGGUAAUAUAAGUUAAAAUAGUAAAAAAUAAUUUUAUGUACAUAUUAACACAUUCAAUUAAUUAUUUAUCAAUAAAGUAUGUAAUUAAUCUAUAA